UAGUAAAGAGCAGGAUAUGAGGGCCUAUCAAAGUAGAGGAGGUAUGAAAUCAAGAAAGAUCAGCAGCUGGGUUUGAGCCAGAGAUGCUUUGAAUAUAUGGUCAAACCAAGGUUUAACCCCCGGCCCCUCCCCAAGCUGUCUCUGGACCCUGACUGGAAACCAUCUCUGUUACCUGAGCCGAGUGGAGGGUCAUCCUCCGUGGCAGAGAAGUCUAGUGUGGCUCCUGCAAUGUCCACCAUCUCGUCAUCAUCAUCUUCGCUGGGGUGAUGAAGGCUGUCAAAGCUCCCGCUGCGGAAACCAGCCUUUUCCAUCUCUUCUAAUCCUGUUUACAACACAACAAGAGUCCGGUGAGCUCGUCGUCCUCGUCCCGCUCUCUGGUAUCUGUGAAGUCCUUCAUCUGAGACAGGAGCUGGGCCUUGGCGGCCGACGUGCUGUAAUACGACGAGCAGCUGGAGCUCGCACCGGAGCGCCUGAGGGGAAACAGUUUAUUUUAUUUACGCACAGAUAAAACACAGAGCGGAGCGAUAUGAAGCAGACACGAGGUCGUAAAUACAGUGAUUAGAAAAGUACAUAAAUAAGAAAUGCAGUCAAUUACGUGGGCUAAAGGGAGGCAGAAGGAAAACAAAAAGGGCAUAUGGGAACAUGUUAAUAUAGUAAGAGUGUAACUGGAGAACAGACGAUGAAGACAGGCUGCUGGUCAACAGACACAUCCACCUUUCAGCAAGGACCAAGGCGAAUAUCUUUUAUUGGACAUUUAGGUUUAACUUCUUGCAUUUUUAUAGAAAUAUUUGUUUUAACCUUUAAAGGACAUUCUUACUUUGAAAUAUUCUUAUGUUUAAAUAAAUAUUUGUAUAUAAAAAAACAUUGUUAUUUUAUCUUUUUAUGGUAAUAUAUAUAUUUAUUUUUUAGGGCUGUCAAGUUAAUGCGUUAAUAACGCAAACAUUAUUUUAACGUGAUUAACGCAUGUGCAUUUUUUGUCCCCGGCCGCCCGUUUCAGAGCGCAUCGAGUUUAAAAUACCAUCUAUACAAUCCAAGCACACUGCUUGAUAAGAGUAUUCAAAACUUGAAAAAUAUUCCUCUAAGGUACAUUUAGAACAGACAAAAAAUCUGCGAUUAAUUUGCGAUUAAAUAUUUUAAUCGACUGACAGCCCUAAUUUUUUUACUUUAUCGAGCAUUUUAUUUUAUGUUUGAAUACAUAUUUGUAUUUUUUAAUUUACAUUUCUUUAACUACUUAGGUUUAUAGAAAUAUGUGUACAUUUACAUUUUUGUAUUUUUGUAUUUAAUUCUACAAUGCAGCACCUGUCAAGAAACCCAAUUACUUUGCCAUCAAUUGCUUUGAUAAAAAAAAAAGUAUUCUGAUUCUGA